GGAUGCCAUUUUGAGAUCAGCCCUUGUGAAACUUCCCCAUGUGACAAACACAGUUUCAUGUUAUGAGUCCCCUUAUGAAAUGGUGGGUGGUUUCUUGGUUGGUUGUUUGCACACCACUGAAUAAAUUGUAUGGUCUGUUUCGGCAGGGACUGCAGGUUUUUGGUGUUGUCCUACUGUGUAGUAGGUUGUGUUGGGUCGAUUAUCUCCCGUUUGCUCCUGCGUCUGAUCCUGUACCUUAUGAAUUAAAUAUAAAAAGUGGUAUUUUUAAAAUGUCCCCUUAAUAAUCAUGCUUAGCUGAACAAUUACUAAAAUAAAGA